rnacentral:rRNA from 1 species
CCUACGGGCGGCAGCAGUGAGGAAUAUUGGUCAAUGGACGGGAGUCUGAACCAGCCAUGCAGCGUGCAGGAAGACGGCUCUAUGAGUUGUAAACUGCUUUUGUACGGGAGUAAACGCAGAUACGCGUAUCUGUUUGAAAGUAUCGUACGAAUAAGGAUCGGCUAACUCCGUGCCAGCAGCCGCGGUAAUACGGAGGAUUCAAGCGUUAUCCGGAUUUAUUGGGUUUAAAGGGUGCGUAGGUGGUCGGUUAAGUGAGUGGUGAAAGCCCGAGGCUCAACCUCGAAAUUGCAAUUGAUACUGGCCGGCUAGAGAGUAGUUGCGGUAGGCGGAAUGUAUGGUGUAGCGGUGAAAUGCUUAGAGAUCACACAGAACACCGAUUGCGAAGGCAGCUUACCAAGCUACUACUGACGUUGAGGCACGAAAGCGUGGGUAUCAAACAGGAUUAGAUACCCCUGUAGUC